ensembl:lncRNA
GUCAGAGGCAAUUCCAAAGCCACCCAGAAUAAACUGUGCAUUGUUGCAGGGUUGUAGCACGGCUGUUUUACAGAAUUAACAUUCUGAAAUAGUUGGAAGUGACAGUUUCCUUUUCAGGAAGGGAAGAGGGCAAAGAGCUACACUGCUGCUUUAAGGUCGGUGUUUAUGUUCAGGAAGAAGAUGGAGCUGGAGAACACAGGGGAUAUGGAACAGAUCCCUGUACCACCCUUUUUUUUUCUUAUCCUAUGAUCCUUCUGGAUUUCCUGCAACCUAGACAAACUAUCAACUCUGACUGCUACUUCAUGGUGAUGACUAAGCUCAAGGCUUCAACUUCCAGUCAAGCAGACAAGACAACCCUUCUCUUGCAAAACAAUAACGCCAGGCCCUCUACCAGUUUGAAGACCAUGGAUCACACUGCACUGCCAAUCUUGGCUGGACUGCCCCACCACAUCUACAGUAUAGCCUGGAUUUGGUGCUUUCUGACUUCUAUCUGUUUGGGCCCAUGAAAUAUGAUAUGGAGUAUGCAGGCAACAUUUUCCUGGCAACAACGCUGUCAUAGAAGCUGAGAAGCAGUGGGUAAUCUCCACUGGUGCAGAUUUUUAUGGGCGCAGCAUGGAUGCUCUUGUUCAUCGCUGGUGAAAUGCAUAGCUAAUGGUAGUGACUAUGCUGAAAAGCAAUACUUUGUAGCAGAGAAUUUUCUCUAUUAAAUAAAGUUAUUGUGCUCUUUGUUGUAGUUUCCAUGGAGAUAAAUAGAAGGCAUUAUUUUCAGAGUGACCCACAUAGUUUGGUUCUGUUAUUUGCUCUUCUAAGGCUGUGGGCUGUGUCUUGCUGAUUUUCCAAGUGUGUUCUAUAAAGUGUUCCUCACAUUAUGAAGCAAACAAGGCUUACUGUUGAUAAUGUUUUUAGUUCUUCCUUUCUAAGCAAUCAUAUUAUCAACAUUUUUACCAAGCUCUAGGUGUUAUUGCACAAAUCCUAUUUACAAGAUAUUGAUAAAAGUUUGUUGAUGGUUUAUGGGCUGGUUUGGCCCAGUUCUGUGACUAG